rnacentral:misc_RNA from 1 species
UUAUACUUAACAAAUAUUAUUAAAGGCUAAAACUUUCUUUAAUAUUAUUUUCUAAUUAUUUACGUUAUUAACUAAAAAUGAUUCAAAAAAUAUCUAAAAAUCCUCACUCUUUGCUCUCCUUAACAUCAAAACCAACUUGUCUCUUUGAUGAUCUAUGCUCGAGUUCAAAAAUUUGCAGAAAAAUGAAAUAUUUCACUUGAGUUAAUUAUGAAGAAAAUUAAAAAAAAAAAUUGAGAGAAAAUGGCAUAGUUGCCUAGGGAGAAUGAUGAGGUUCUAAAAUGAAUGAGCCAACAUAGUUUUCUGCCCAAAGAAGAAAGUUCCCUCUACUGCAUUUCAAGUGAAA